CUUUUUUGGCUUGCUGUACAGACUGCUGCUGAGCUGGCUGGCUAGGUCGCUCUGUCACAGUACAUCAUUGAUGGAAGUCAAGGGAGGAACUCAAACAGGAAAUUGGAGAAGAAGCCAUGGAAGAAUGCUUCUUGCUAGUUCAUCUUCAAGUUUAUGCUUAGCUAUCUUCCCAAUAUAUCCUAGGUCACCUACCUACCUAUGGUACUAUCCAUGACAAUCCAAGACUUUCUACAUUAAUUAAUUAUCAAGACAAUCCUCCACAGAUAUACCCACGGGUCAAUAUAAUCUGGGGAAUCUUUCAUUUGAGACUCCUUUCUCUAUGUUGUGUCCAAUUGACAAUUAGAGAUAACUAGGACACCAAAAUAUAAACUGGUUUUGGUGAA